AGUUUUAUAAUUUAAAUUAAAAUAUUAAUUUUGUAAAUUAAAUAUAUACUAACAUAUUAAAACUA
rnacentral:tRNA from 1 species